rnacentral:rRNA from 1 species
GUGGGGCCUGAUGUGUGGUUCAAGCGAUGGGGUGACACAGUGGGGUAGCCAUGCCGCUUAGUGGAUUGUUGGUGUAAGCGUGUAGGUGAUGGUGUAGGUAAAUCCGCACUUGUUAUGCUGAGACGUGAUGCGUAGCCUUAAUUGGUGAAGUUGGUGAUCCCGUACUGUCGAGAAAAGCCUCUAGCGAUGUAUAUACUCGGCCCGUACCCCAAACCGACACAGGUAGUCAGGUUGAAAAUACUAAGGCGUUCGGGUGAACUGUGGUUAAGGAACUCGGCAAAAUGCCCCCGUAACUUCGGGAGAAGGGGGACCCUAUGGCGUGAACACCCAUUUGCGGUGGGAAGCGUUGUGGGGUCGCAGAGAAUAGAGGGAAGCGACUGUUUAUCAAAAACACAGGUCCAUGCGAAGACGUUAAGUUGAUGUAUAUGGACUGACGCCUGCCCGGUGCUGGAAGGUUAAGAGGACCGGUUAAUCAAGCUUUGCUUGGUGAAGCUGAGAAUUUAAGCCCCAGUAAACGGCGGUGGUAACUAUAACCAUCCUAAGGUAGCGAAAUUCCUUGUCGGGUAAGUUCCGACCUGCACGAAUGGCGUAACGACUUCCCUGCUGUCUCAACCACAGGCCCGGUGAAAUUGCACUACGAGUAAAGAUGCUCGUUACGCGCGGCAGGACGAAAAGACCCCGGGACCUUCACUAUAGCUUGGUAUUGGUGUUCGGUUCGGUUUGUGUAGGAUAGGUGGGAGACUAUGAGGCGUGUGCGCCAGCACGCGUGGAGUCGUUGUUGAAAUACCACUCUGAUCGGAUUGGAUACCUUAACCUUGGCCCAUGAUCUGGGUUGGGGACAGUGCCUGGUGGGUAGUUUAACUGGGGCGGUUGCCUCCCAAAAUGUAACGGAGGCGCCCAAAGGUUCCCUCAGCCUGGUUGGCAAUCAGGUGGUGAGUGUAAGUGCACAAGGGAGCUUGACUGUGAGAGUGACAGCUCGAACAGGGACGAAAGUCGGGACUAGUGAUCCGGCACCUACUUGUGGAUGUGGUGUCGCUCAACGGAUAAAAGGUACCCCGGGGAUAACAGGCUGAUCUUCCCCAAGAGUCCAUAUCGACGGGAUGGUUUGGCACCUCGAUGUCGGCUCGUCGCAUCCUGGGGCUGGAGUAGGUCCCAAGGGUUGGGCUGUUCGCCCAUUAAAGCGGCACGCGAGCUGGGUUCAGAACGUCGUGAG